rnacentral:tRNA from 1 species
GGGGCUGUGGCGGAAUUGGCAGACGCGCUAGAUUUAGGAUCUAGUUCCCACAGGGAGUGCAGGUUCGAGUCCUGUCAGCCCCA